CUCCUUGUCCUGCAUUGGCCAACUCACUGCCUGCCCUCACAGAGGAGGAGUGAAACUCGAAGUUAAAUAUAUACUUUUAGACUAUUUUUGCAAGCCUAAGAAUUCUGGAGGAACUUCUUGCAGGCACACCAGGGGGAAGCACGGCCCACCACUGGACCGAGCGUUGAGAAGCGAAUAAAAGAAGAGAAAGAACGCCUCUGAGCUUAGAAAACUGACCCUCCUUUUGUGCUGAAAAGAUAGGUCCUAGAGAACAAUAGAAAGAAGGACUGUCCACGAUUCCGUGCCAACGGACAGCCAGGAAUUCUUGUAUUAACGCAUUCGACAAAUACUUACUGAGAACCUGCUAUCUCAUGGACACUGUUUUGGGUGUCGAGGACACGAAGAUGAUCGAGGCAAUGUCUUGGCCAUCGAGGAACUUACAAAGCAGUGAGAAGGGACAGAUGCGUCAAGAAAGGUCUGGCAGAGCUGGUGACACUUGCCGUUUCUGCAGUCUUUCCAGUGGGAAUGGAAAGAUCUGAAGUUCAGAAACUUUGUGGACCAAGUAACCUGAAGACUUUGGGGAAACUAUCUAACUUCCCUAAGCCUUGAUUUCCACUUCUGCAAAAUGGAGGAUGCAUGCACUGAGAAGGUUGAAUGACCUAAAGCUGACCCCCAUUGCAGGAAGGAAUGGACAUGCUGGCUACAAAAGUCAAUAAUGGACCAAUGGGAACACUGCUCAGAUGAACCAAUCAGAACCGCACCAGUUCCAGUCCUUUCUUUGUAUAGACUAACCUAAUUGAAGACUUGGGCAGGAAUUAUUCCUCUACAAAAGCCUAUCCCCUCACACUUUGGGGGAGGCAGUCUUUUGAGCAAGCUAGCUCCAUGCCCCUCAACUGAUGUCACCAAUAAUAAAAGUCUUCCUCUUCGGUGGGAAGAGAUUGGCUCUUCUGGCAGUGAGCAACUGAUUCCGGGCCCUGUCUAGAUUGGUGCAGUAACAACAGCCUACCCGAAGUUAAAGAAUUCAGCAGAAGCAGGCAAACAACCUCGGCUGGAGGACUUGAGGAAGUAGACUCUGAAGGGUGAUUUUCUCUCACAUGUGCACAUGUGCACUAUUAUGAACUUUUGUAAAAAAAUAACUUUCUUUCUAAACAUGUGAAAUGUAUACUUUUGCAAACCUAAGUUCACUUUUUCACUGACAUAAGGUUCAAGAAUACUUUGCUCAUCAGUUUGUAUAUUUCCCUUGACUAUAAAUAUCUUCCCAUGUAUUUGAUGUAGAAAUUGAAACAGAAUAUUAAGUCUCUUUCUUAACAAAUCUGGAGCAGCAAAUUCUUUGCUAAAAACAUAGUUCUUUUUGUCAAAAGCUGUUGUUUCCUCAGGGGAAGUGAACAUUAUAUCUGCGACAUCUUAUAAAGAGAAAUUAAAGGGAGCUCCUUUACCCAAGUGACAAGUUUCAAAUUUGAAUUCUGUGUCAAAAGAAGGAUAUCUCUUUGUGAUUUAAAAAAUAAUAAUAAUAAUUAAAGGAUGUCAUGGCACAUUUUCCAAUGACAAUUGCUUUUCAGAUCCCUCACAUAUGUUAUGUGCAUAUUGCUUAUGACACAUUAUAGAUCAGAUAAUACAGCAAUGGGGGUUUAGAGUCGGAUGGAUUAACCGUAAGUAGGCAAAUCGUUAUUCUGCCACAUGAUUGUAAAGUUCAGCCUCCCUGCCAAACAAUUAUCAAUUUAAUCCUUAAUAGUUACACGGUCAAAUUAAAUACUGAUUUUUCCCCAUUUAAUGUAACUAAGGUUUUUUUUAAAAUCAUCUUCCAAAUAUCCUCUACCUUUAACAACUUCUGCAGCACAUAGUAGCCUUUAAUAAACAUUGGAUAGUAUUUUUAUUCUCUUUCCUGGACCCUGCAGGAUAUGAGAAAGAAAUGCUAGACAAAGAACAACAUUCAGAGGACUCAUAUUUUUGUAAAAGGAAAACACUAGUGCUGUGGCAAGCUGGGUGCCUCCCUGGGAGGCCCUGCCCAAGCAUGGUACAUACCUCAUG